rnacentral:rRNA from 1 species
ACGGAGGGUGCAAACGUUGCUCGGAAUCAUUGGGCGUAAAGCGCACGUAGGCGGCUCGUUAAGUCGGAUGUGAAAGCCCUGGGCUCAACCCAGGAAGUGCAUACGAAACUGGCGAGCUUGAGUAUGGAAGAGGGUCGCGGAAUUCCCGGUGUAGAGGUGAAAUUCGUAGAUAUCGGGAGGAACACCAGUGGCGAAGGCGGCGACCUGGGCCAAUACUGACGCUGAGGUGCGAAAGCGUGGGGAGCAAACAGGA